GCUUUUCUCUGGCUCAAUCAGUAAGAGCAUUGUGAUCGCAAUGCAAAGGUUGUGGGUUCAAACCCCAGGAAAAGCA